UUGUUAAAUUCUUCGGCCUAACUGAAGGUAUGCAGGUGAUACUGAUGAGCUAGAGGGUGGAAGAGAGAAGUGGAAUUCUCGGAGUAGCGGUAAAAUGCGUAGAUCUCGAGAGGAACACCAAUGGCGAAGGCAGCUUCUUGGUCCAUUCCUGACGUUCAUACACGAAAGCGUGGGGAGCAAACAGGAUUAGAUACCCUGGUAGUCCACGCUGUAAACGAUGAUCACUAGACGUUAACUCUGUUUAACAGAAUUAGUGUCGUAGCUAACGCGUUAAGUGAUCCACCUGGGGAUUACGGUCGCAAGACUA
rnacentral:rRNA from 1 species